rnacentral:rRNA from 1 species
GAUGAACGCUGGCGGCGUGCCUAAUACAUGCAAGUCGAGCGAACGGACGAGAAGCUUGCUUCUCUGAUGUUAGCGGCGGACGGGUGAGUAACACGUGGAUAACCUACCUAUAAGACUGGGAUAACUUCGGGAAACCGGAGCUAAUACCGGAUGAUAUUUUGAACCGCAUGGUUCAAAAGUGAAAGACGGUCUUGCUGUCACUUAUAGAUGGAUCCGCGCUGCAUUAGCUAGUUGGUAAGGUAACGGCUUACCAAGGCAACGAUGCAUAGCCGACCUGAGAGGGGGUCGGGCACCAGUGAAACUGAGACAGGGCCCGGAUCCGGAGGGACGGAACAGGUGGGGACUGUUCGGAAAGGGGGGAAGGCUUGACGAAGCAGCGCGAGGGGGGUGAUGAAGGUCUGCGGAUGGUAAAACUGUUUUAUUGGGAAAAACAUAUGUGUAAGUAACUGUGCACAUCUUGACGGUACCUAAUCAGAAAGCCACGGCUAACUACGUG